UGACUCUCGGCAACGGAUAUCUCGGCUCUUGCAUCGAUGAAGAACGUAACGAAAUGCGAUACUUGGUGUGAAUUGCAGAAUCCCGUGAACCAUCGAGUUUUUGAACGCAAGUUGCGCCCAAAGCCAUUAGGCCGAGGGCACGCCUGCCUGGGUGUCACA
rnacentral:rRNA from 1 species